rnacentral:rRNA from 1 species
GAUGAACGCUGGCGGCGUGCCUAAUACAUGCAAGUCGAGCGAACGGACGAGAAGCUUGCUUCUCUGAUGUUAGCGGCGGACGGGUGGGCAACACGUGGAUAACCUACCUAUAAGACUGGGAUAACUUCGGGAAACCGGAGCUAAUACCGGAUGAUAUUUUGAACCGCAUGGUUCAAAAGUGAAAGACGGUCUUGCUGUCACUUAUAGAUGGAUCCGCGCUGCAUUAGCUAGUUGGUAAGGUAACGGCUUACCAAGGCAACGAUGCAUAGCCGACCUGAGAGGGUGAUCGGCCACACUGGAACUGAGACACGGUCCAGACUCCUACGGGAGGCAGCAGUAGGGAAUCUUCCGCAAUGGGCGAAAGCCUGACGGAGCAACGCCGCGUGAGUGAUGAAGGUCUUCGGAUCGUAAAACUCUGUUAUUAGGGAAGAACAUAUGUGUAAGUAACUGUGCACAUCUUGACGGUACCUAAUCAGAAAGCCACGGCUAACUACGUG